rnacentral:rRNA from 1 species
AAAAGCUCGUAGUUGGAUUUCUGUCGAGGGUGGACGGUCCGCACUAUGUGCGUGUAUCUGUUACGGCCUUGGCAUCCUCUUGGGGAACGUGUCUGUGCUUGAUUGCAUGGCGCGGUAUUCAAGACUUUUACUUUGAGGAAAUUAGAGUGUUCACGGCAAGCAUAAGCUUUGAAUACAUUAGCAUGGAGUAAUAAUAUAGGACGUUCGCCCUAUUUUGUUGGUUUCUAGAGUGAGCGUAAUGAUUAAUAGGGAUAAUUGGGGGCAUUCGUAUUAACGCGUCAGAGGUGGAAUUCUUGGAUUGCGUUACGACGAACUACUGCGAAAGCAUUUGCCAAGGAUGUUUUCAUUGAUCAAGAACGAAAGUGUGGGGAUCGAAGACGAUUAGAUACCGUCGUAGUCUAUACCAUAAACUAUGCCAACUAGAGAUGGGGCGUCGUUCUUUUUAUGACUCGCUCUGCACCUUAUGAGAAAUCAAAGUUUUUGGGUUCCGGGGGGAGUAUGGUCGCAAGGCU